GGGCGGUUGGCGCAAUUGGUGGCGCAAUCGGUUUACAUCCGAAAGGUUGUAGGUUCGAACCCUACACCGCCUA
rnacentral:tRNA from 1 species